rnacentral:rRNA from 1 species
ACAGUUUUAGAGAUAAGAUUUUCCUUCGGGACAAUUAUACAGGUGCUGCAUGGCUGUCGUCAGCUCGUGCCGUGAGGUGUUCGGUUAAGUCCGGCAACGAGCGCAACCCACACUGUCAGUUGCUAACGCGUAAUGGCGAGGACUCUGGCGGGACUGCCUGUGCAAGCAGGAGGAAGGCGUGGACGACGUCAAGUCAGUAUGGCCCUUACGACCAGGGCUGCACACGUGCUACAAUGGGUACUACAGAAGGAAGCUAAACCGCGAGGUGGCGCAAAUCCCGAAAAGUAUCCCCAGUUCGGAUUGGAGUCUGCAACUCGACUCCAUGAAGUCGGAAUCGCUAGUAAAGGCGUAUCAGCUACGACGCCUUGAAUACGUUCCCGGGCCUUGUACACACCGCCCGUCACAUCAUGGGAGCCUACUGCACCCGAAGUCGCUGUCCCAACCCCUUGUGGGAGGGAGGCGCCGAAGGUGUGGUCGGUGACUGGGAUGAAGUCGUAACAAGGUAACCGUA